rnacentral:rRNA from 1 species
GACGAACGCUGGCGGCGUGCUUAAUGAAUGCGAGUCGAGCGAGAACCGGACUGAGGAAACCUUCGGGUGGAAUCAGUCUGGGGAGAGCGGCAAACGGGUGAGUAACACGUGGGUAACCUGCCCCUCAGACGGGGAUAAUUCGCCGAAAGGCGGACUAAUACCCGAUGGUGAUGUGCCAACACAUGUUGAUACAUCUAAAGGCUCCGGUGCUGAGGGAGGGGUCCGCGGCCGAUUAGCUUGUUGGUAGGGUAACGGCCUACCAAGGCUUCGAUCGGUAGCCGGUCUGAGAGGAUGACCGGUCACACUGGGACUGAGACAUGGUCCAGACUCCUACGGGAGUUAGCAUCAGGGAAUCUUGCGCAAUGGGCGAAAGCCUGACGCAGCGACGCCGCGUGGGUGAUGGAGGCCUGCGGGUCGUAAAGCCCUGUCGGGAGGGAAGAAACAGCACCUUCGGGUGCUUUGACUGUACCUCCGGAGGAAGCCCCGGCUAAUUACGUGCCAGCAGCCGCGGUAGUACGUAAGGGGCCAGCGUUGUCCGGAAUUACUGGGCGUAAAGAGCACGUAGGCGGUUAGGAAAGCGAUAGGUGAAAUCCCCCGGCUCAACCGAGGAACUGCUUAUCGAACUGCCUGACUAGAGCACGGGAGAGGGCACUGGAAUUCCUGGUGUAGCGGUGGAAUGCGUAUAUACCAGGAGGAACACCGGUGGCGAAGGCUGGUGCCUGGAACGUUGCUGACGCUAAGGUGCGAAAGCCAGGGGAACAAACGGGAUUAGAUACCCCGGUAGUCCUGGCCGUAAACGAUGGACACUAGGUGUUGGAGGUUCGACCCCUUCAGUGCUGUUAAGCUAACGCGUUAAGUGUCCCGCCUGGGGAGUACGGUCGCAAGGCUGAAACUCAAAGGAAUUGACGGGGGCCCGCACAAGCGGUGGAGCAUGUGGGUCAAUGGGAUGAUACGCCGAGAACCUUACCAGGGCUUGACAUGACCCUGAUCCCCUGCGAAAGCAGGUCUUCUGGGCAACCAGACAGGGCCACAGGUGGUGCAUGGUUGUCGACAGCUCGUGUCGUGAGAUGUUGGGUUAAGUCCCGCAACGAGCGCAACCCUCGCCGGAUGUUGCCAGCGGUUAGGCCGGGCACUCUUCCGGGACUGCCGGAGUAAUCCGGAGGAAGGGGGGGAUGACGUCAAAUCUGCAUGCCCCUUAUGUCCUGGGCUGCACACGUGCUACAAUGGCGAGUACAAAGGGUCGCGAAGCCGCGAGGCCCAGCUAAUCCCCAAAAACUCGUCCCAGUUCGGAUUGGAGUCUGCAACUCGACUCCAUGAAGUCGGAAUCGCUAGUAACCGUGGAUCAGCAAUGCCGCGGUGAAUACGUUCCCGGGCCUUGUACACACCGCCCGUCAAGUCACGGAAGCCGACAGCACCCCAAGUCCGCUACGGCGGCCCAAGGUGAGGUCAGUGACUGGG